UGUGACCUUAGGGCAAGUCCUCAGACUGCCAACUUCUGAAUACUAAGGGACAAUUUAUAAUUUAGAAAUUGUCCCUUAGUAUUCAGAAGUUGGCAAUUUGAGGACUUGCCCUAAGGUCACA